UACGUAGGGUGCAAGCGUUAAUCGGAAUUACUGGGCGUAAAGCGUGCGCAGGCGGUUCGUUGUGUCGGCGGUGAAAGCCCCGGGCUCAACCUGGGAAUGGCCGUUGAAACUGGCGAACUGGAGUGUGGCAGAGGGGGGUGGAAUUCCGCGUGUAGCAGUGAAAUGCGUAGAGAUGCGGAGGAACACCGAUGGCGAAGGCAGCCCCCUGGGCUAGCACUGACGCUCAGGCACGAAAGCGUGGGGAGCAAACAGG
rnacentral:rRNA from 1 species